GACGAACGCUGGCGGCGUGCUUAACACAUGCAAGUCGAACGGAAAGGCCCUGCUUUUGUGGGGUGCUCGAGUGGCGAACGGGUGAGUAACACGUGAGUAACCUGCCCUUGACUUUGGGAUAACUUCAGGAAACUGGGGCUAAUACCGGAUAGGAGCUCCUGCUGCAUGGUGGGGGUUGGAAAGUUUCGGCGGUUGGGGAUGGACUCGCGGCUUAUCAGCUUGUUGGUGGGGUAGUGGCUUACCCAGGCUUUGACGGGUAGCCGGCCUGAGAGGGUGACCGGCCACAUUGGGACUGAGGUACGGCCCAGACUCCUACGGGAGGCAGCAGUGGGGAAUAUUGCACAAUGGGCGGAAGCCUGAUGCAGCAACGCCGCGUGCGGGAUGACGGCCUUCGGGUUGUAAACCGCUUUCGCCUGUGACGAAGCGUGAGUGACGGUAAUGGGUAAAGAAGCACCGGCUAACUACGUG
rnacentral:rRNA from 1 species